UACGUAGGUGGCAAGCGUUGUCCGGAAUUACUGGGUGUAAAGGGCGUGUAGGCGGGAAGGCAAGUCAGAUGUGAAAGCCCAUGGCUUAACUGUGGAACUGCAUCUGAAACUGUUUUUCUUGAGUACUGGAGAGGAAAGUGGAAUUCCUAGUGUAGCGGUGAAAUGCGUAGAGAUUAGGAGGAACACCAGUGGCGAAGGCGGCUUUCUGGACAGUAACUGACGCUGAGGCGCGAAAGCGUGGGGAGCAAACAGGAUUAGAUACCCUGGUAGUCCACGCUGUAAACGAUGGAUACUAGGUGUGGGAGGUAUCGACCCCUUCCGUGCCGGAGUUAACACAAUAAGUAUCCCACCUGGGGAGUACGGCCGCAAGGUUGAA
rnacentral:rRNA from 1 species